UGGAGGUCUGAGAAAGUUGUGCAGUUUGCAUAGUACUGACAUAACUGGUUAUUACCUCCAAUAUUAAAUUUCAAACACUGCAAUAAUACUUGAAUGUUUUUUUUUAUUAAGUAUUUGCUGUGUUUGUAUACAUUUA